CAACAACUAAUGGGUAUGAAGACUUGCUGGUGUUAAUACCUCCUCCAUUAUGACGAGAAUGAACAAUCUCAUACACCAUCAGGAGAGGCUGAGUCUGGCAGCAGAUAGAGAUCAAACAGAAGCAAGGAAAAAAAGCAUAAUGGCAUCUUGACACCCUUCAUGCUCGCAAGACUAAGAGAAGCAAAGACAAAACAAUGUAGACAUUGGUGCUCUUGCAUUUCAGAGGAAGAUUGAAGAAACAGAGCCAAAAGUGGGCGUACACAGGACCAGUGUGCCUGAGGCCACAGUGAUGGCAGAAAGAGAGAGCAACAGUGGCCUGCCGCCUUGGUAAAUCAGAACAUAAGUCAAGUCCUGUGGAGGUUAUAGGGGAGUGGAAUCACCUCCCAGUUCUCCUGGAAAUAUAGUUUAUCCUGUGAUCCUCCAGACGAAUCCACUCUCCCCCACUGUUGACUAA
rnacentral:lncRNA from 1 species